rnacentral:ncRNA from 2 species
AGACGUUCUCAGGGCGGGGUGCAAUUCCCCACCGGCGGUGUUUGCAUCCCACAGAUGCAUCAGCCCGCGAGCGCCCUCCCCAAAAGGGAGGGGUCAGCAGACUCGGUUCAACUCCGAGGCCGACGGUAUAGUCCGGAUGGAAGAGAACACAU